rnacentral:rRNA from 1 species
ACUCAAAUGAAUGACGGGGGCCGCACAAGCGGUGGAGCAUGUGGUUUAAUUCGAUGCAACGCGAAGAACCUUACCUACUCUUGACAUCCAGAGAACUUGGCAGAGAUGCCUUGGUGCCUUCGGGAACUCUGAGACAGGUGCUGCAUGGCUGUCGUCAGCUCGUGUUGUGAAAUGUUGGGUUAAGUCCCGCAACGAGCGCAACCCUUAUCCUUUGUUGCCAGCGAUUCGGUCGGGAACUCAAAGGAGACUGCCAGUGAUAAACUGGAGGAAGGUGGGGAUGACGUCAAGUCAUCAUGGCCCUUACGAGUAGGGCUACACACGUGCUACAAUGGCGUAUACAAAGAGAAGCGACCUCGCGAGAGCAAGCGGACCUCAUAAAGUACGUCGUAGUCCGGAUUGGAGUCUGCAACUCGACUCCAUGAAGUCGGAAUCGCUAGUAAUCGUAGAUCAGAAUGCUACGGUGAAUACGUUCCCGGGCCUUGUACACACCGCCCGUCACACCAUGGGAGUGGGUUGCAAAAGAAGUAGGUAGCUUAACCUUCGGGAGGGCGCUUACCACUUUGUGAUUCAUGACUGGGGUGAAGUCGUAACAAGGUAACCAAGGGCGAAUUCCAG